CUAGCCGGUGGUUCAGGUGGCCGGUCGGGCUGGAAGGGCGGGGAUGAGGGAUGGGACGCAUCCCCGGGGGAUGCUCCUCCAAAGCUUUUAUCGGGCGAGCGCAGUGGCUCACGCCUGUAAUUCCUGCACUUUGGGAGGCUAAGUAGAGAUGGGGUUUCACCAUAUUGGCUAUGCUGGUCUCGAACUCCUGACCUUGUGAUCCACCUGCCUUGGCCUCCCAAAGUGCUGGGAUUACAGGAUGAAAGGCUUCCUAGCACAAACACCACCCCUGGAGUUCCCGGUACAUCAAUACCAGCCUGGGGAUCACGUUCUCAUCAAGAGUUGGAAGAGGGAAAGCUUGAACCAGCUUAGGAGGACCUCAUCUGGUACUCUUGAUGAAUGAAACAGCAAUCUGAAUGGCUGAAAAAGGAUGGACCCAGCACUCCAGGGAGAAAACUUGGCAUUCUUUGGGAAUCUAACAGGAUGCAGUGAACCCAAGCCUUUUGAAGAGCUCACCAAUCAGACUGCCCUUGUCUAUCCAUGAGCAGAUGUUUGAUAGUAUUGCGGAGGCCCUCUAGUGGGUAUGCUGCCAAGCAACUGGAGUGGCACUUGGGCUCUAAUCCAGUUGUCUAUCCCUUUCACCCUGGCAUUUCAUCAGCCAAACAAAAACCAACUAACUCAGAAAAAAAGGAAAGCCCCUCAAGGGUCCUUUGACCCCGAUAUCUACAUAGAUGCUAUCGGGGUCCCCUGAGGGGUACCAAACGAAUUCAAAGCUCGAAAUCAAAUAGCUGCUGGAUUCAAGUCUGUCCUUUUCUUGUGGUCUACUAUAAAUAAAAAUGUAGACUGGAUAAAUUACAUAUACUAUAACCAACAACGAUUUGUCAGUUACACCAGGGAUGCCAUUAAAGGAAUAGCUGAACAAUUGGGUUUCACCAGCCAAAUGGCCUGGGAAAAUAGAAUAGCUCUUGACAUGAUAUUAGUGGAAGUCCAAUGUUGUACCUGUAUCCCCAAUAAUACAGCCCCUGAUGUAACUAUCACUAAGGGUCUAUAAGGCCUCACCACUCUAGGAAAUGAACUAGCUGAAAAUUCGGGAAUGAAUGAUCCCUUUACAGGUGUAAUGGAAAAAAUGGUUUGGUAGAUGGAAAGGACUAAUGGCCUCUAUUCUCACCUCCCUUGUGAUCAUAAUAGGGGUGCUCAUUCUCUUAGGGUGCUGUAUUAUACCCUGUGUCUGCGGACUAGUUCAAAAGCUCAUAGAAACAGCCCUUACCAAGACCUCCCACAACUCUCCCCCACCCUAUUCAGAUAAACGUUUAUUUCUAAGCAACCAAGAAGAGCAGUGAAGCCAGAUCCUGUUAGAAAUAUAUGAAGAGGAAGGACUACAAAAUCAAAAGGGGAAAAUUAUUAGACAAAAUGAGUUGCUCUACAAAGGUCCAACUUCGUUGUCCUUUGUUCUGUAACCUUUGUUCUGUAAACUGCCCUUCCCGCAGAAACUGUCUUUCCCGCCGACCAAAACUGCCCUUCACUAUCACUGUAAUCCAUACCCCUACUCUAUUUGAAACUGCCAAUCGGGAUCAGCUUACAUUGUGUGGUUCAACCACCAGCCAAUGAGGAAAAAACACAGAAGCAAAAGCUAUGAUGCAUUAGGGUUAAAAACCCCUUCCUUUCCCUGUCCAAUGUGCUCUUGAGACUGCUACAGGCGCAAGCAGCCACCUUCUGCAGAAGUAAACCUUGCCUUGCUGAGAAAUUUUUCUUUUGAGUGCUGGUCUCUCUCUGUGGCACCAAGAACUUAUUUCUAACAUGGAGUGAUUUCCAAGAUAGAUGGUUAAGUGAAAAUAAAAACUGUUGCCAGGCACGGUAGCUCAUGCCUGUAAUCCCAGCACUUUGGGAGUCUGAGGAGGUUGGAUUAUUUGAGGUCAGGAGUUUGAGACCAGCCUAGCCAACAUGGUGAAAUCCUGUCUCUUCUAAAUAUACAAAAAAUUAGCCGGGCGUGGUUGUGGGUGCCUGUAAUCCCAGCUACUUGGGAAGCUGA
ensembl:lncRNA ZNF561-AS1 ZNF561 antisense RNA 1 (head to head)